CACACCUCUCACCCAAAGCGCAGGAGGGGACACUCUCCCUCCUGUUCAGUGCCAAUAUAUUCUACACGGGUUUUACUUUACAUGUAGUCUAAAGACUCGUCGGCUCAGAGCAGCGUGCCCAAACAGUCUACGACAGCUACUGUCCAAUCAGCGUGUUCCCGCCAGGGUUAGCUGACGUAUGUCGUCAUUAGUCGCGGCGUGCCUCGUCAUUGGUCAUUACUUUCUGGGAGGGGCGGAGAGAGGCGGAGAGAGGAAGUUGGAAAAGUUUAAAGCCAGUGUUUGAAGCUUUGCAUCUGUUUGUCAGUCCUGUGAGAGAACGCCGUUACCGGAGAGAUCUGGAAGCUAAAACAAACCGUGGAGCUGCUUUUUGUCCAACACGAGUGAGACUGGACGGUGAACACACCUGUGAAGGUUGACUGGUUGAGCUGCUGCAGCCUGGACACAAACACCUGCUCUCACCUGACAAACCAAACAGGUGUCACCACUUCAUCCACGAUCACAGAGAGUCUUCGUACAGUGAAGAAGUUGUUUGAGACCAGGACAGAGGCCUCCAGGAUUCAAACUUUAACCAUUAAAUCACAGAGAGAAGAGAGAGACAUGAAGACAUUUCCAGAAGGUCUUCAUCUGCCGUCAUCUUCUGCAGAGAGAAGAACAUGCGUUAAUCACAGAAACUGAUGAAUAAAUCUGUUCUGUUGACAUUUGUUUUGAUGAUUUUUCAUGCCUUAUUAUACUGACUGAUACUGAUUUUUUGUCAUUUUUGUCAUCUUUUUAUACUACAUUUUUUUUUAUUGAUUUUUGAUGCCUUACUAUAUUAUGACAUUUUCUGACCAUUUUUGAUGCCUUAUUAUACUAUGACAUUUUUUUGAUGAUUUUUGAUGCCUUACUAUACUAUGACAUUUUUUUGAUGAUUUUUGAUGCCUUAUUAUACUAUGACAUUUUUUGUCAUUUUUGACACCUCACUAUCCCUAGACAUUUUUUGACAAUUUUUGAUGAUUUUACUACACUAUGAGAUGCAGCUUAGACUAGCUUAGAUAAAGCAACCAUCUUUCCAUUGCUCUCCAUAGACACACAUAUUCAUACCUGUAUACAGUGUUUGUGGGUUAGGUUAGAUUUAUUUAGAUUUAUGUUAGUUAUUUCAUUUUGGUAUUUAGCUAUUUUAAACAGUGUAAUAUGUAUACAAGCCCUAUUUAUACUAUAACUUUUGUAUAUUGUUCUAUAUGAACUUGUUUUAUAUCUUGUCGUUUAUAUCAUGCUUUUUUCUGUUUUUGCUGGUGGAAUACACCCCCGCGGGGGGACUGUUGUCUUCCUCAAAUAAAUACUUGAACACUUAA